rnacentral:lncRNA from 1 species
UUUUGUUCUUUGAAAAAAUUCUUAAUUAAGUCCUAGAGUGGCUGUUGCUUCUUGUUCAUGUGCUGUCUGCCCUCAUUUUGUGUACUUCUUUAUCUGUCAGGUGCUCCCACUCUCUCUCGGCUUUUAGAAGCUGGUCCCACACAGUUCUCCACUCCUCUUCCUUCCUUCACUACUGUUGCCAGUGAGCCUCCAGUUAAGCUUGUGCCACCCCCUGUAGAGUCUGUGUCCCAGGCUACCAUUGUCAUGAUGCCUGCGCUGCCAGCACCGUCCUCUGCUCCGGCUGUCUCCACUCCUGAAAGUGUAGCUCCAGUGAGCCAGCCUGAGCCCUGUGUUCCCCUGGAAGCCGUGGGGGAUCCACAG